AGCACGGACGGUCCAGAUUUAAUCAAAAUGGACGGCUAUGAUCAAAAGGCAAAAGGGUAUAAAUAAAACCCACAUACCUGACCACAAAAACCCUAGCCGCCUGCCCUCGCCGGAGAAGACGAACCAGACGCCGGAGGAGCCGGCUGCCGCCACCCGCCGCCGCACCGUGGAGUUUUUCGACCGCCGAUCGCGGUAAAUUUCAUACCCCAGCUCGUUUUUUAAUGCUGAGUUCCCCUGUGGCCAAAUCGG
rnacentral:lncRNA from 1 species